rnacentral:lncRNA from 1 species
AAUUUUUUUGCAGGUUAUAAUGCCGCCCCGGUGACACAUGUCAAGAGGAAAACUGCCGCCUCAGCGGCAAACUCUCUGUUGGAGCCCGCCCCAGCGACACUACGGGUUUCAGUUUUUUUUUAAAAAAAACUCCUCUCGGUCGAAACUAAAACACUUCUCUCCUUCCCAACUUCGAACAUCUGAUACCCACUCGCCAAAAACACCAUCACACCUUAUAACACAUUUAAGUUCGUCUAAAAUUCUUCUCCCAAACAUCAAAUACUCAUACUUUAACCCUAAUUCAUCCUUCACUUCCAGUUGCAAACCCUAACUGAAAGUGCACAAGCUACAGUGGGAAAUUGGUCACGAUCUUACAGAGGGGUUGGUACAAUUGAAGCAUUCUGACAGAGUAAUUCCUAAUUCGAAGUGAUUGGUACAAAACACUUACCAUUACACAAGGUAAUUAUUGUCAAUUGGCCAUUCGUUCAAGAAUACUUUCAAUUUACUUAUCAAAUUGCCAUUGUUUGAGAUUGUGCAUAUCACAAAGAGUUAACCCACGUAACGUUGUAUUAGCAAUUUUGAUAUAAGAGAGGCUUGAUUAUUGUAGAGACUUUGUGUGGUAAAAUUUGAUUUGAAUACUGAGUUUAGAGGUCUUAAAAGGGAAAACUGAGAUGGCCUACAAGGUGUUUGCUGAAAGGCUUUUAACUAACAGAUUGUUUGUAUCAUCAAUUUUGAUUCGUUAUGAGAAUUAUUUGUUCCUGUGGCCUUGAAUCAGUAAUUGGUUGUUAAACGAGUUUGAGGGACAUUGUUGGUGAGCAUAGGGGUUGACGUAAGGUUGCUACGUACUGGCCAUCAAGCAAUUUCAGUGACACAAUUUGAGAAUUGACAGUGAUACACAUCCAUGGCACCGAAAAGGCAACGAGGUGAGGGUUCUUCCACCCCAGUGAGACAAUUUGAUAGACGAAAGUUUAUAAGUGCAACUGCAGUAGAUAAAUUCGAUUACUUUGCUAAUAAGGCACUUACCCCCGAGCGUGGAUUGAGACCUGAUGAAUUUAACGGGGAGAUGGGUCAUCAGAUUAUUGAG